rnacentral:rRNA from 1 species
CGAACGCUGGCGGCGUGCCUAACACAUGCAAGUCGAACGGAACUUCUUUAAAGGAUUUCUUCGGAAUGAAUUUGAUUAAGUUUAGUGGCGGACGGGUGAGUAACGCGUGAGUAACCUGCCUCUAAGAGGGGCAUAACAUUCUGAAAAGAAUGCUAAUACCGCAUAAUAUAUAUUUAUCGCAUGGUAGAUAUAUCAAAGAUUUAUCGCUUAGAGAUGGACUCGCGUCCGAUUAGUUAGUUGGUGAGGUAACGGCUCACCAAGACCGCGAUCGGUAGCCGGACUGAGAGGUUGAACGGCCACAUUGGGACUGAGACACGGCCCAGACUCCUACGGGAGGCAGCAGUGGGGGAUAUUGCGCAAUGGGGGAAACCCUGACGCAGCAACGCCGCGUGAAGGAUGAAGGUCUUCGGAUUGUAAACUUCUUUUAUUAAGGACGAAGAAAGUGACGGUACUUAAUGAAUAAGCUCCGGCUAACUACGUG